UUUGACCCUUGGACCGUCUUCGACUGGCCUUGGAGGACCUUCUGGAAGCUUAACGUGAGGAUUGCGACCUAGUGGAGCUGAACUUUGGAACUCCUUGGACUGUUUUGGAGCCUAGUACUAGAGCCAUUUACAGGAGAGGCUAGGGAUCGUGGCAAGGGAGUCGCGCCUAGCUAGGG